rnacentral:rRNA from 1 species
CUACGGGGGGCACCAGUGGGGAAUAUUGCACAAUGGGCGCAAGCCUGAUGCAGCCAUGCCGCGUGUAUGAAGAAGGCCUUCGGGUUGUAAAGUACUUUCAGCGGGGAGGAAGGGAGUAAAGUUAAUACCUUUGCUCAUUGACGUUACCCGCAGAAGAAGCACCGGCUAACUCCGUGCCAGCAGCCGCGGUAAUACGGAGGGUGCAAGCGUUAAUCGGAAUUACUGGGCGUAAAGCGCACGCAGGCGGUUUGUUAAGUCAGAUGGGAAAUCCCCGGGCUCAACCUGGGAACUGCAUCUGAUACUGGCAAGCUUGAGUCUCGUAGAGGGGGGUAGAAUUCCAGGUGUAGCGGUGAAAUGCGUAGAGAUCUGGAGGAAUACCGGUGGCGAAGGCGGCCCCCUGGACGAAGGCUGACGCUCAGGUGCGAAAGCGUGGGGAGCAAACAGGAUUAGAUACCCUUGUAGUC